CGUGCUAAGGUAGCAUAAUCAUUAGCCUUUUAAUUAAGGGCUCGUAUGAAUGGUGAAACAUUUCAAAUACUUUAUUUAUUAAUAUUUUUAAACUUAAAUUAAGAAUAAAAAUGUUCUUAUUCUAAAAAUAGACGAUAAGACCCUUUUGAACUUUACUUUUGUUUUGCUGGGGCAGCAAAAUAAAAAUAAUCUUAUUUUCUUUUAAUAAAGACCCAAUAACAUUGAUUUUAUGAACAAGUUACCAUAGGGAUAACAGCGUAAUAUCUUUCUAAAGCUCUUAUUGAAAAAGAGGAUUACGACCUCGAUGUUGAAUUAAUGUAACUUUAAAGUAGAAAUCUUAAAAGUAGGUCUGUUCGACCAUUAAAACAUUACAUGAUUUGAGUUCAAAUCGGUGUAAACCAGAUUGGUUUCUAUCUUUUUAUUUUUUUUAUUCAGUACGAAAGGACCAAUAAAUUUAUUUUUAAU
rnacentral:rRNA from 1 species